GACGAACGCUGGCUGCGUGCUUAACACAUGCAAGUCGAACGCUGAAGCCGACAGCUUGCUGUUGGUGGAUAAGUGGCGAACGGGUGAGUAACACGUGAGUAACCUGCCCCUGAUUUCGGGAUAAGCCUGGGAAACUGGGUCUAAUACCGGAUACGACCACCUGACGCAUGUUGGGUGGUGGAAGGUUUUUCGAUCGGGGAUGGGCUCGCGGCCUAUCAGCUUGUUGGUGGGGUAAUGGCCUACCAAGGCGACGACGGGUAGCCGGCCUGAGAGGGCGACCGGCCACACUGGGACUGAGACACGGCCCAGACUCCUACGGGAGGCAGCAGUGGGGAAUAUUGCACAAUGGGGGAAACCCUGAUGCAGCGACGCAGCGUGCGGGGUGACGGCCUUCGGGUUGUAAACCGCUUUCAGCAGGGAAGAAGCGAAAGUGACGGUACCUGCAGAAGAAGUACCGGCUAACUACGUGCCAGCCGCCGCCGUAA
rnacentral:rRNA from 1 species